UUCCUCCCUCUUCAGGUUUGAAUAGGAGGCUCCAUUGUAUCACGGGACGGAGUAUGGCAAGUCACGUGACGAGGAAGAAGCAGUAGCUCGGCCUCGGGAAAAGGGCUUAUCGCUUGCGGAGCUCCUGGUAACCUUGGCGAUGCGCUCUUAGGAGCAGAGGAUUGAAACUACCUGAUUUUUCUCUCCGGUACCUUAGUCUCGGGUGGUAUCCUGUGAUGGGGAAAUGAGUCUUCUCUUACCAUGUCUGGCUGGUGGCGACCCAGAUGCCAUGUGAUGGCCAUUUGAAGACAGGCCUUUUGGACAUCAGGUGAUGUAAAUUUUUUUUGAUGCUGCAGUAUCAUUUGCCACUGGGCGGUUUCCUUUCUCUGGGGUCUGACUCAAGUGGGAUGUGGAGGGUGGAGGUUGUACCUUGAAGACAGGGUGCAGUCCCGGGAGGCACCUCAUGGUGGCCACAGCGAUGACCUCGGCCAGCAGAUGAGUGUUCAGCAGAUGAUAUUGGAGCUGAUGCAGCUGGAAAUCUGAAUUUCGGACCCAGGACUUUGCCAGGAGCCAGGUUUUUCCAGCACUGGACUCUGGACCAAGAGGCAGUGGAUUCCCACAACCUCCCGACCCUGACUCAGCCUUGGUCCCUCCCCUUCACAACUGCUGGCCACACUGCCAAGGAGAGAACAAGGCAAAGUUCCUUCUCUCGAUGUUUCUGGAACACGUCCAAUGCAUUGUCUCCUGCCAGGCGGGCUGGGGAGACAUGAAGAUGAUUGGCCACAGUUUGUGUGGUCCUGUGCCCCGCCACCUAUCCUAAUCUUCCUUUCCAUAGUCAUAGUCCGUGUGUUCAGUCAUGCUCUGUUGCUUUUAUCCCUGGCCUUGCCUCACUCCAUCAGUUCCCCAGACACAUUUAUCUUAUCUUUGCCAACUUUGCACUCCUGGUUGUGCUAAUUUCAGACCUCAUCUCUUGCCUUGAGACAACAGUCUCAUGUUUGACACCCUUUCUUGUCAUUUAACUGUCUUUCCCUUCCUGAUCUUAUUUCAUCAAUAUCUAUGAUUGGAAAAAUCACCUUAAUUAAGGUGAUAACAUCUUAAUCACUCAUAUGCCUACACCUCUUUUCUACAGUAUAUUGCUUUGGUUAAUUUCAUGUGUCCUGAACCUCACCUGCCGCACCUUGGCCAUCCUCAAAAAGCUUUGAGGAGCUAUGUUUGCUUUCUGUUUCUGACUUCAUUGUUCCAAGACUCACCAGCAAAGUCUAUAUUAUCAACUUGUUUCUGCUCUUAUCUGUACUUAUACUUACCUGCCUCAAAGUGAUAGAUUUCACGUUUCCGUCAUCACUGCCCUUGCCUCAGUUGCCUCCAUAAUCAUCUCUCGUUUCCCCAACAAAUUCUGAAUUUGCUGUCAUUCAUCCCCGCCUCCUGUCAGCGUGCUCCCUGUCCCUGACGGUUGUCUUCCAUGUUUUCCCAACCAAACCAGCCCUCCAAAUCAUAUUAUUUAUUGUUUCCCUUAGCUGUGUCCUCGCAGGGGUCCUCCCCAGCCCCUAUUCCAUAUGCUAAUCUUAACCUGUCCUGCCCUAACUUCUUCCCAGUCCCAUCCAGAUCUCCUUCUCACUUUUACUUGGACUUCUCUGUUUUCCAUCACUGCUUCAACGCCCAUUCUGUGUCUUCACCUUCUUGGAAGGUGGGAGCUACACAGCACUUAUGUCCCUAUCCAGCCCCACUCGCAGCUUUUCUUAGUCUAUGUGUAAAUUUGGUGUUUUAUAACUUUCCCCCAUUUCCUGUCUUCUUCGCACUUAACCUGCUGAACACCCACUUUUUUCAAGCCCCCCUGACCUUUCCUCAGUCCUCCCCCCCACCUUCGUCAGCAGUUCCCCAGGCUCCGCACCGCCCACCACUGCCCCCACCGGUGCCCUCGGGCAGGCACAGGACGCCCUCGCCCUGCACCCAGCUGUAGCACGGGAAGGCGGCCUCCUCGCCGGCUCCAGGGCCCUGCACCGUGAUGCGGUCGCAGAACCACGCGUCGUCCACCAGGGAGUGGUGUUUGCGCAGCUUCACGAACUGCAGCGGCCCCAAGUCGUCGGGAACGUCGUGCUCAAACUCCUCCUCCUGUGGGGCCAGAACCCGGAGACUUUAGUGGGAGGGUCCUGGGAGAGGCCGUUUUGCGGAGAGUGAGGGUUGGGGGUCUGAGGUGGGGUGGGGACAGAAGAGGGGGGACCUUGGUGGCCUCCGUUGACAAUGCCUCCAAAGACCUCGUUCCCUCCUCUGGACACCUGCGCGGUGGAUUUCAGACGCCCCAUGGCACCAGGAGGACAAGGGAAGGCGGCGCGUGGCCCUCAUUGUCUUGAAUUGAUGCCUGAGCACCAUCACCUCCAUCCGUUCUUUGAGCCAUUCCCGUCUGCGCUCUCCCAGGAGCUUCCCAUUUGACACUGAUGCUAUAUUGACACUGGCCUGGGGUCAUUUAGAGAGUCAGUUGGAGGCUGUGAGGACCAGGGUAACUGGGAAGGGAGAAGGGGGUGGCGUUCAGCCCGUCUUUGGCUCCCGACCCUCCCUCUCCUCGCCCCUCCUCGCCCCUCCUUGCCCAGGCGCAGGCAUCCCAACACCUGGAAGUCCCAGCCAGUGCGGUCCAGCUAUCAUUUAGCUCCUGGAUCCCGCGCCUCACCGGCCUCUCGCCUCUGGGCUGCCCUCCCGCCGCGAGCCCCAGCUCGGGCCGGGGUGGGGGCCCCCGCUCCCGCCUGCUGACCUGGCCCCGCACCGGCCGCAGCUCCAGCUCCAGCUUCGUCUCCCCGUGCGCCCCGACCAGCCACAGCCGCACGCGGUUGUGCGACCCGGCGAAGAGCGAGGCCCCGGUGGCUACGCGGAUGCAGUAGCGGCCCAUGGCGGCCCUGGCGGCUUAGACGAGGGGAGCCGGGACGUGCGCACUUCUUGGGGCCGUGGGCGGGUGUCGAGACGCCUUGGGGCCCGGGCCUUUAAAGAUGGGUCCGCGUCCCCGCCCUUCUCACGACUUGCUGGCGCUCUCAGUCCCCGCCCCAGACUAGCCCGAACCUGUGAGCGGCAGAGCCGGCUGUGGGGAAGGGCCGCGCCUCCGGAUCCGAGCGGAGCUGCGGGAGAUAAAGGGGCCCCAGCCUCGGUGAGGCCGAGAGGAUGGAAUUGCCUGGGUUUCUCUGGACCUCCGAGGGGGCCUCGGGGUUGUAGGGAGCAAGGCUGAGGACUUCCCGGGGUCCCCAGGCCUUUCGGAGAGCUAGGCGGAAGAGGAGGUGGGUCGGUCUUCCAAUGGAGGGGAAAGUCUCUGCUUUUCUUGGCUGGGCCCCAGGGAGCACGUAGUGUCCUGCUGCUAGACCCGGUAUGGCCAGUAGGUUUUCAGUUCCUGCUUUCGACCUCAUUUGAGCCCAGUUUUUUAGUAAAUGACCUGGGGUCCCCCAGGCUUCCUAGAACCUGGAAAAGUAACAGUUCAAAGACUUGCACCCCAGACCUCAACCUGCUUUCCAGCAUGGCCAGGUUAAGACCCCAGGCACGCCAGAUGCAGGGGGAGGCCCCGCUGAGGCAGGGAAGUGAAAACCUCCUUUUGUCCAACGUUCAUAGUGGGUGCAGAGAAUGUUAGGAUGCAGCUAUCAGGGUACAGUAUGGAGUAACUUAGGGACACAGCAUCCAUGGACAGUUCCCCUGGACUUUGUUCCCUUCCAGGUGAACACAACCUCUUCCCCGUGAACACAACCUCUUCCCCUUCCAUAUGUUCCAGGUUAAUUUUUUAUUUUUUAAAAGUUUAAUUUUUUAAAAUUGAAGUAUAGUCAGUUUACAGUGUGUCAAUUUCUGCAGUACAGCAUAAAUGUUUCAGUUAUACGUAUACAUAUAUAUAUUCGUUUUCAUAUUCUUUUUCAUUGUAGUUUAAUACAAGAUAUUAAAUAUAGUUCCCUGUUGUAUACAGAAGAAAUCAGGUUCAUUUUUAUUCUGGCCUUACUGACCCUGGUACCUGCUUCCCCCACCUGAAGCUUUUUUCAGUUUUCUUCUAAGACAUUAGAUGCAAAGUUUUUAUUAGUCAAGAAGUUCUACCUCUUUCAUCUUCUUUCUAGUCUUUAUCCUGCUCCCCCCAGCUAUUUCCUGGUCCUUUGUGGCACUCAGGGCAGGAAACCAGGGAGCUACGGAGGGGCCAGUGCUGGUUAGGGACUUUGUAAACAUCAGAAGAUGUUCAGGCCUCAUGCUCUGCCACCCACACAGGAACCAGGUGCAGCCUCUUGCAGGUCCCUAUCUAGGUCUUCUUGGCCAAAUCAUUAUAAGCUUUUGGCUCCCAGUGGAUGUGUCUGGUGGCCAGGGCUAGGUCAGGGCAAGGUAAAUCUGCUUUCUUGAGCCAGACCCUCAAAAAUGACUUGAUGUGUGGUUACUCGGGCGGGGGAGGGCGUAAGAGGGAUUCCAGUCCUGCCUUCUAGCCUCCAAACUUCCGGAAGUGUCUCAUCCUUACAGUGUGCUUUCUUCUUAUCUUCUGGGCCCACUGCUGCCUGCAUCCUCUGUGCUCAGGGCUGGUGUCUGUCACAUGCUGGACCCUAGUUUCCUCCAGUUCGGGGGGGUCCCCUUAUCCUGUAAUACUUAGACUAUCUCAUGUCCCCAUCUUACAUAGUAGCUGAAUCUGGUUUUCCAUACAUACCCUUCAAGGGUCACUUUGGCCUAGAAAAGACAGUUUGCUUCACACCUAUUUCCAGAACCCGUCUAGACUUCAGCCUGCUUCUCUGCUGUUUCGUGACAACUUUUCUGCCCAUUCUAGCAUCCCUCAAGGUCACGCAGCCGAGGCGGGGCGAGGCGGGGAACGAAUGACUAAGAGCUAUAAUCCAAGCGACUACAUAGGCUAAAGGGGUUAAUGUUGAAAAUAUUUAGAACAAUGCCUGACACUAGUCUCUGUAUGCACCUGCUGCCAUUAUUCUAUUUACAGACUGGAAACAAUUUCCGGUUGAAUGUCAGCAUCAUUCCUUCUGGAAAUUCCUCCGCCGUUCCCCACCCCAUACUGUUUCUCCAUGUCCCUCCACAGACCCCAGCCUCCCAUUUAGGGAUCUUGCUCCUCAAGACCCUUCCAGUUUUUUUUUUUUUCUUUUUUCAGCACAUGCAUUAUGCUGAGGAACAGAAUUUAAAACAAAAUUACCCAACCCAGAAAAACCCCUAAAACCCCUCCACAAAGGUGGCAGAGGAAAGAAAACAGUUGUAUAAUUGAAUAAGCAUUCCCAGAAUGUGAUACGCGUCACAGGCCAUCCGCUAAGAGACUGUAAAGAUAAAGUAAUCGCACCCUUUUAUAAAGCAGCACAGCCAAGCAGAUACAGCUGUUACACGUAUGUCCUCAAGAUGAACAGUAAACUAGUCCUCAGAGUAAGAGGCUUGACCGCACCGUUUGUCACACACAGUUUAUCCUAACUUUACCUGGUAACUGGUGAGCCUCUGGGUUACUAGUAGGCUUAAUCAUAGGACUAAGUUCUUAUAUCUUUAUGAUAGGAGGUAGUUUUGCAACUUGGUGGAAGGAGCCCACCGCAGUUAAGGUCCUACCCUCCCACCGAAACUGGGAGAUGGGGGUGCUACUCCCUGAAAUUUACAUUUGAAAGAGAUGGCUCUUGGCGGGGGGCCUUGGGAGCGACAUUCCUGGGUCAAAAACCAGCAAGAGGCUGGUUUAGCUUCUGAGAAGAUUUCCACACAUUUCAAAGAGGCACAGGAAGAACUUGUAGCUACAAGUUUUCUAAAGUUAAUGCUCCAAAUAAAUAAAUAAAUAAAUAAAUAAAUAAAAAUAAAGCUAAUGUGCUAAGAAAAGGGGGAAAGAGGAAGAAGUUUAUUAUUUUCAGCAGGGAGAAUGAAGCUGCUUAUUUGUCUUCACAAUUACCAUUUUGUUGUGUACCUAUGCCCCGGGAAGGACCAGGGCCUUGGCCUUGCCGGGCCCUUCAUGGUGGGAAGGCCCAGGUGUGCACAUCAGAGCCAGACUCUCUCUUCUUCCAGACUCCCGGGGCCCUGUUCUGCAACCCACAUUCCCAUGAACUCUCUCUGCAGAACAACUUAACUUGGUCAAAGCUUCUCUCACCAAGGGGUGUGGGGAAGGGGGAUGGACCUUGCCUUUCAAGCCAAAAAGUCUUGCUAAAGUGUUCUCCUAAUCACAAGGAUAAUUUCAUCCUCUUCCUUUCCUCUGUGCCAGGGUGGCUCAAACUGCAGUCGGUUAGAGGAUAACUCAGUUGUCCCCUCUGCAUGAAUCUUUGGAACCCAUAUUUGGCACAGGGCUAUAGACAUUUGUAUUUGUUCCUUGAGGGCAAAUUAAACAUACAAACACGACAUUAUAAACUGUGUAGCUUUGAACCAAACAUAGGAUCUGAUUUCAGGGCCGAUGCUGUAGCACAUGUUUUCCAUUGAGUCAUUUGAGGUCCCACCUGCCCCUGUUUGCACGAAGCCCAGCACUUUCCUCUCUGAGUGGUGUUACUUGCUUCUGUUCUUGUUCAGUGGUCGAAUGCGGGAACAUUGUUCCUGCACAUUCUAUGGGUUAUUUUCUGGUGCUGCAGGGACCACUGCACAGGCCACGACAGUGACGCACACUUGGGCUUCCCAACUCCUGUUCACACAGGCUUGGGCAAGGGCCCCAAGCAUGAUUGGUGCCAGGGGCCUGGGUCAGGCCCAUGUCCAGCCUCAGCUGCUUAAACCUUUAGGCAUUGGUGUUGAACCUGGUCCUUUAACCAGAGAACUUUGCUCACAGAGGGUUCCCUUUUGGUUCUUUCCUGCUGAUGGGUCUCUGUUGGAACUGAUACAGGGAAAAAUGUGAGGCAAGAGGAUGGCCGUGUCCCAGGUCUUGGAUGAGCCCCUGGGAUGUGCGUCACCAAGUGUGGGUCCUUGGCUUCUCACAGGAAAGAAUUCAAGAGUGAGCCACAGUUGAGUAAGGCUAGAUUUAUUUAGAGAGAUACAUACUCCAUAGACAGAGUGUGGGCUAUUUCAGAAGGCAAGAGAAAGGCCAGGAGGUGUGGGGGUUGGGUGCUCAGUUUAAAGUAGUUACACUCCAAAGGCAGAGUGCGGGCCACCUCAAUCAGAAGAGCGAGUGGCCAUGAGGGGUGGGGCUGUUAGUUUUUAUGGGCGUGGGAGCUUCGUAUGCUACCAAGUGGGAGGAUUAUUCCAACUACUCUGGAGAAGGUGCUGGGAUUCCCAAGAAUCCAACAUCCAACCCCUGGCCUCUCUUUUUCAGGACUGAACUGCAAGGCCAGACCCACAGCAUUUUGGGCUUUUUACUCCAUCUUGGAGAAACAACGGUUAAGGGACAAAUGAGUUGUGGGGUCCAUCAGAGGAGAAAUUCCACUCCUUCUCUGGGACCCCUGCCAGCAUCCCCCAAACCAUCCCAAACUCUGUUUAUCUUUCUCUUUUUUCUAAUAAUCCUACAUUACUCAAAAUUUUUAAUUCACACUGAUUUCUAGAUAAUCUUUUAUUUUUUAUUGAAGUAUAGUAAGUUACAAUGUGUCAAUUUCUGGUGUACAGCACAAUGUCCCAGUCAUGCAUAUAUACAUACACAUAUAUUCAUUUUCAUAUUCUUUUUCAUUAAAGGUUAUUACAAGAUAUUGAAUAUAGUUCCCUAUGCUAUAUAGAAGAAAUUUUUUUAAAUCUAUUUUUAUAUAUAGUGGUUAACAUUUGUAAAUCUCAAACUGCCAAAUUUAUCCCUUCCCACCCUCUUUUCCCUGGUAACUGUAAGAUUGUUUACUGUGUCUGUGAGUUUCUUUCGGUUUUGUAGAUGAGUUCAUUAGUGUCCUUUUUUUCUUUUUCUUUUUCUUUUAGAUUCCACAAAUGAGUGAUAUCCUAUGGUAUUUUUCUUUCUGUUUCUGGCUUACUUCACUUAGAAUAACCUAGAUAAUUUUCAUGUCUUGCCUGCCGCCUGUGAUCUCUUUGCUCCAUCUUGUGCUGAACCAUAUUUAAAAGCUAUCACUAACCCACUAACCCACAUAACAGAUUUGUACUGAAGGUUUGAGAGGGCAAUAGCCAGGGUGGGGAAUAGGGUGAGGCGAGUGAGGCACUUACCUUGGGAGCAACAUUUAAAGUGUCCCACCAAAACCUGUUCAUCAAGGUAAAUAAUAUUUUAAUACAAUAUUUGAAAAGAUCAAAAUUAAUGCAAAAAUUCACAGUAAACAAAAAUAUCAAAAAUUAAAAAAAUUUAUUGAUUUAUAAUCAUUUUACAAUGUUGUGUCAAAUUCCAGUGUAGAGAACAAUUUUUCAGUCAUACAUGAACAUAUAUAUAUUCAUUGUCACAUUUUUUUCUCUGUGAGCUACCAUCAGAUCUUGUGUAUAUUUCCCUGUGCUGUACAGUGUAAUCUUGUUUAUCUAUUUUACAGUUUUGAAAUCCCAUCUAUCCCUCAAAAUUUUAAAUAAAGACAAGAUCAGUUGUAAGACUGAAUAUUAGCCA